AAUAAAUAUAGUUUUAUACUGUUCAUGUCUAACGUUUGACUGUUCAUCUUAUAUAAUAUUUUUUUAUAGUAUUUUUGUUAUUAUUAGAUGAUAAAACUAGUACUUUAUAUGUGACUAAUUUUUUUAAUAAAUUUUUUAAAUAAGAUAAAUGGUCAAACGUUGAACAUGGAUACUCACGACUGCACUUAUU
rfam:Oryza barthii chromosome 8, whole genome shotgun sequence.